rnacentral:misc_RNA from 1 species
GAUGAAGAACGCAGCGAAAUGCGAUACUUGGUGUGAAUUGCAGAAUCCCGUGAACCAUCGAGUCUUUGAACGCAAGUUGCGCCUCAAGCCAUUAGGUUGAGGGCACGUCUGCCUGGGCGUCACAUAUCGUUGCCUGAUGCCAGUUUCCUCGUGAUGGGUGACUGUGCAGGGCGAAUGAUGGUUUCCCGUGAGCAUUGUUGCCUCAUGGUUGGUUGAAAAUUGAGUCCUUGGUAGGGAGCGCCGUGAUAGAUGGUGGUUGAGUGACGAACGAGACCCAAUCAUGUGAGACCCCUACCGAAUUUGGCCUUCAUGACCCACAUGCGUCUUUGGAACGCUCAUGACGAGACCUCAGGUCAGGCGGGGCUACCCGCUGAGUUUAAGCAUAUCAAUAAGCGGAGGA